AGCGAACGCUGGCGGCAGGCCUAACACAUGCAAGUCGAACGAACCCUUCGGGGUUAGUGGCGGACGGGUGAGUAACACGUGGGAACGUGCCUUUAGGUUCGGAAUAACACAGGGAAACUUGUGCUAAUACCGAAUGUGCCCUUCGGGGGAAAGAUUGAUCGCCUUUAGAGCGGCCCGCGUCUGAUUAGCUAGUUGGUGAUGUAAUGGCUCACCAAGGCUACGAUCAGUAUCUGGUCUGAGAGGAUGACCAGCCACAUAUGGACUGAGACACGGCCUAAACUCCUACGGGAGGCAGCAGUGGUGAAUCUUGCGCAAUGUGCGAAAGCCUGACGCAGCCAUGCCGGGUGGAUGAUGAAGGUCUUAGGAUUGUAAAAUCCUUUCACCGGUGAAGAUAAUGACUGUAGCCGGAGAAGAAGCCCCGGCUAACUUCGUGCCAGCCGCCGCCGUAAGAC
rnacentral:rRNA from 1 species